UAAAAAAAUUUCGGUGGCGGAGUCUUUCUCGCGGUGGGCGCCACCAAUGAAGACCUUGUAUAUAUUUUAUAUAUAUGUAUAUUUAUCAAUUGCUUUAUAUAUUUAUAUCUAUUUAUUCUUGUAUUUUUCAUUAUAUAAUCUUAUUUAUUCAUAUUUUUAUUUAAUCUGUAUUUAAUCUUAUAUAUUCUUAUAUGGACGUUAUAAUAAAUCAGUUUCAAUCUCAAUCUCUCUCUCUCUCUCUCUCUCUCUCUUCUCUCUCUCUUCUCUCUCUCUCUCUUUUGGGAAAAAAUAUAAUUUUAACUGUAAUAUAAUGACACUAUGCGGGGCUGAGUUGGUUUAAACAAAAUGCCUUGACAAUGGUUGGCGUUCAGCCCACCAAAAUAAGUCUUUUUAUUCAAUCCAAAAUAUAUGCCUAUAUUUAUUAUCUAAAAAUGUAAAUAUGAAUUGCUCUCUAUUUUCAGAACAAUAUCGUUGCGGAAUUUCUUGUUGUUGGAUGAGAAUGGUGAAGAUUGUUGGAAGCGCAGUCGUUUGAGUGGAAAGUUGAGCAUACAGUGGGGAAUAACCAGGACACGUGCUGGGGUUUUGAAAAUAAAAGGCAACUGGUUGGAGGAAAGAAAAGCUUGAGAGAAGGCGGAGCGGUUUUUGACUAUUGGCCUAUCGAUUCACAUGGCGGUGAUUGACUUUAGGUGCUAUCUCGGUGGGAGCGAAGUGAACUAGGUCCGAACUCGGUGGGAGCGAAACAACUACUGACAAUCCUCGGUUCUCGAUUUAACACGAAUACCUUUCUUCUUUCCCAUUGGUCGAAAGGUGGGACGUGGCCGUUUUCUAUUGGUUGACCUUUGGGAAGGUGCUUCCUAAUUGGUCCUUGCUAAUUUCUUUGUCUUUGGACUUGUCCUGACACGACCAGGAAAUACUGUGUCGUUGAACUCAACUUUUAUUAGUUUCGCGAUAAUAAAAUUGGCUGUAAUUUUGCUAAUGAUUGUGCUGACUUCUAAGCCUCUUUUCUAGGCCUUGUUUCUCUAAGUCGUUCUAUCCUCCAGUUACCUUAUUCUUUAUUAAGUAUUUGAAACAUACAUUGCAUACAUAUUGGGUCGGGGUUGCAUACAGCUAUUUACAAAUUAUGACAGAUGCGCCCCCUACAUGUGAAGAAUUUAUGAAGGGGUUUUAGUCUGAAUAAGUUCUUUACAUCAAAAAAAUAAUUUUGGGCGAAAAUUAAUUGAUUAUAGGGAGGUUAUAUACAAUCUUGAUAAGGAUAUAAGAGAUUAAAAAAAUGUAGUGUUAAUGAAAUAUAGUUGGUUGUUAGUUAAAAGAAAUCAAAAUUUUAUAAAGGUGCAUCAUAAUAUGUUGAGUACUAUGGUACAAAAAAAAAGGAAAAAUUGCCUAAUUACUUUUUGCUCGAGUUUGGGAAAGGAAAACGAGGAAAUUUCAUAAGGUAAUUUGAAAUAAAAAAAAAAUAAAAAAAAUAAUAGUUGAAUGAAAUCAAAGUUGAAUGUUUGGUUGAAAAAGAGAAAAAAAAAAUGCUUUGUUGCGUAAAAAAAAAAGAAAAAAAAAGAAUGUUUUGUUGCCUUGGUGAAAAGGAAAAAAUACCUAAUUACCUUUUGCUCGAAUUUUGGGAAGGAAAUCGAGGAAAUUGCAUAAGGUGUUUUGAAAUCAAAAUAAAAUAAAAAAAUAGUUGAAUGAAAUCAAAGUUGAAUGUUUGGUUGAAAAAGAGAAAAAAAAAUGUUUUGUUGCAUUGGUAAAAGAAAAAUGCCUAACUACUUUUUGCUCGAGUUCGGGAAAGAAAACUAGGAAAUUUCAUGAGGUAUCAAAAAUAAAAAUAAAAGAAAUGUUGAGCGAAAUCAAAGUUGAAUGCUUGGUUGAGAAAAAAAAAAGAAAAAGGUUUUUCAAAAAUAAAGGAUGACUUAAUGUCUUAAGUUUAACCGAAAACCAAUGAGUUUUCGUUGAUAAAUGAAGUUACGAUAAUAUAAACUAAGUGGUAACUAACAUGGUAAUUAAUGGUUAAAAUAAGUGAUAUUAAUUGAUAUUAAUUGAAUAAUUUGCUAAGUUGGUUAAAUAUUUUAAUUUUAAUUUAAAAAAAUAGUGAAAAUGGUUAAUAUAUAAACAAUAAGGUGUAUUGGUUUGAACCCAUUGUGUAUCUACAUGCCCUGAUCUAGAUGUCUUAAUUGCUUAAUUAUGCCCUGUAAAUUUUUUGUCUCUUCUGUAGCGACACUUAGGCGGAAACGUGAUCCUAAUCCUCAAGUGCGAAUUUAUGCUAUGUGUACAGGAGACAUGGAAAUCUAUAUAACCUUUAUGUGUAUUUUUGUCUGGUGUUAUUGUUUUUUUGAGAUCUCAAAAGCCGAGUGUUGUUUUUUAAUUUGUCUUAAGCCUUAAUGCGUUCUAGGGGUUUUUAUGCGAUACCCUAUGGCACUUAAGAUGUGCUCGCCCAAUAUCCACUUUAUAUAUUGGGUAUCGGUACCUAUAUUAAUACCUUGAAUACAGGAUUCGAGGAGAAUCUCGAUCCUUCUAAAAAGUCGUUUAAUCCCUUUUGGGAGAAUACGUAAGUUUGAAACCUAACUAGCAAAGCGGUAGUAUGCGUGAAUUUUGUUCAUAUUUGACUUUGAGAUCUACGUGUAGGUGGAAUAUGUAACUUUUUUUUUUCUUUUGUUGGAGUCUGUAAAGUAAUUAUGAUUAAUUAUAAUAGGGAUGUGAGCUCAUUUAGAUGUGUGUGACGUCUUGUGUGUGUGGAAUUGUAUUUGUAAAAAUCGAUACGCAGGUUCGAACUGGAAUCCAAGAUUGGUGACAUGGGGAGAAAAUCUGUGGAUGUGGUAACGCGGUGGCCUAUUUUUAUGUACCGGCCAAGAGAGGUUUCCAAACGGACGACAUGUAAAAGUCCCCAGCUUGACCUCCAUUUAACUGCUGGUCGAGGGAGAUGGUAAUUAGAAACCGGACAUGGGGACUCUCACCCCCUGUUUGCAUACGCUAAUUUUAUCGCCGCGCGGGGCACUUGUUUCCUGUCGGCUAAUUGCUUUUGUGUGCGACUCGAAUUUUGUUACUGGAGUGGGAUUUCUUUCUUUCGGCACUGGUUUGUUACCUUUCAGUUACUUCUAUCUCCUCGGAAUUUAUUUAGAUUUUCUGCAAAGAUGCUUCCUAUUAUUACAAUAAGUUUUACAAAUGCUUGUCCUAAAUGAAAAACUGCCUCUUGCAGCUCGAAAACUCUAUUAGAAGGCAUGGUAUAGGUUAACAAAUAACUAAGGAACAAAACUGGGAUAUAUUUGUAGGGUAGGACUAGCAAACAAAGGAUGAAAAUCAGAUGAAAGAUAGGGUAUCGAUACAUGUUCUUCCAUAUUGCUGUAAAUGGGGACUCUGAAAUAUUUGUUCGAACCUUAUUCAUUGUUGAUCGUUCAAUUUCGCAUUGCUUGUUAUCUUUGGGGAGUGGCGUGAUAGGAUUGAAAUGAUUGUCAGGUUCGCAGUUCUUAAUGUCGGGGAAGAAUGGUGCAAAUCGCCUUGUUGCAAAAAUGGCAGGGUCUAAAUGCCUGAAAGGCUCGCUGUUGGUGGGUUUGAACCUUAAUGGCUCUGCUGGGAAUAAUUCGGGUGUUAAAUGCUUAAAAGGGAACGUGUAAUCGGGUUUGUGCUUUAUAUGACAUAUGCUAACGGCGGGUGGUGAUAUAUAACGGACUGUUUCUGUAUACAGCUUAAGCUUGUUGACGUGGAUCGUGUCAGUGUCUCUUUGAAGAGGUUGAUUUGGUCGAUCUAUACGGACCACAUUGGGUGAAAUGAUUUCUAAUACUGUGUGGGGUCCUGUGAAAUAUGGCGCGAGUUUCCCUGUAUUUGGGUGGUGAUAUAAUUUAACUAACACUAGAUCACCUACUUCGAAAUGUGGUUGUUUGUGUCGUUGAUCAUAAAUGUUUUUGUCCUGAAGAUGCUUGUUUUGUGUUCGUGUGUGUGCAAUUUUUCUAGCUUUGUCGAUAUCUGGGUAAGGUGUGCUGUGGUUAGAGAUUUCUGAGGGUAGGGUGCCAAACAUUAAGUAGACGGGUGGAAAACCUGUGGUAGAGUGUGGGUUUUGUUAUAUAUAAUUGUAACUCUUUUGACCAACUUGGUCCAUGCGAUCUUAGGAUUUUCUAGAUGUAAUAGCCUAAGUUUUCCCGUGAGGGUGGCGUUCAGGCGUUCACAUAGACCGUUGGCUUGUGGAUUGUUGCUGGUUGUGAGUAACGGGUGAAUAUUUCUAUUAAGUAGGAAACUACGAAAUUUUGGCGAAGUGAAGGCAGGGGCUCUAUCCGUAAGAAGGCGUUUGGGAGAGCCAUCCUGUAAUACUCGCUUAAGUACCUGUUGGUAGGUGGUGAUGCUGGUGGAUUUAGAUGGAAAAGUCCACGCGUAGCGCGAAAAAUGAUCGACUACCACAUGGAGGUAUAUUUUGGUGUUGCCAUAUUUGGCAAAUCCUGCUAUGGUGUCUAGGGAUAAUAGGUCAAAGGGUUCUUUGGCUUCCGGAGGCUGACUUAACUCCCCGUAAGUGGGUCCCAAUGGACGUUUUGUUAAUUGGCAGGUGGGGCAGGUCUUAACCUUUUGUUUAAUAUCUUUUGACAUACCUUGCCAGUAAUAUUGCGUGGAGAUGAGUCGUGACAUUUGUGAAAUACCGGGGUGGUUGUAUUGUGUGUGUACUGUUUGUAAGAGUUGUUGUAUGAGUGGUUUUGGAAUUAUAAUCCUGGUUACACCUUUUCGGGAAACUGUAUGUAAUCCAUUACGAUCAAUGGUCAAACUAGACUCUCUCGAUGGAGGAGGUUGGUGUGUCUUGAUAAGGGUGGCGUCCAAGAAUCCACAAAACGGGUUACGGGACAAGAGAUCUGCCUCAUACUGUUGUUUUCCCUUUAUGUAGCGGACCUCAUAUUCGUAACUCGAUAGUCGUAAACUCCAUCGAAACAAUCUGCCGGACGGGUUUUUGAUGGUCUUCAGCCACUGCAAUGCGUGAUGGUCAGAAAAUAUAGUAAAUUUUCUGCCCAUAAGAUAGAUGCGAAACUUCUCCACACUCUCAACGAUUGCUAAGCACUCAAGUUCAGAGAUGGAGUAGUUUUUCUCGUGUGGGCGCAAUGUUCGGCUGAAAUACUGAACUGGAUAUACGUUCCCGUCAGGGUGAACCUGUUUGAGAAUGCCUGCUAUACCGAGGGUGGAUGCAUCGCAAUACACUUGGCAUGGCAGACCUUCUUUGUAAAGGUGUAAAAUGGGGUGUUGUGUGAGGUUCCCUUUCAGGUCAAUGAACGCCUUUUGACAAGAUUCAUCCCAGAUCCACACGACAUCCUUUUUGAGAAGGUUGUUGAGCGGUGCUCGCAAGCGAGCGUAGUCCGGGAUGAAUUUGUUAUAGACGUUCACAGCGCCUAAAAAGGAUUGUAGUGUUUUUUGGUUGUGUGGCUGUUUAAUGGCGUGAAUAAUGUCGGUGUUGCGUGUGAGCGGUGUAGUGGUACCAGCUGUUAUGGUGUAGCCUAGAAAAUCUAUGGACUGCUUAAAAAAUUCGCAUUUCGCGAAAUUAAGUUGUAGCUUCUCCGCUUCGCAAAAGGCGAAGAAUUGUCGCAGGUGGUUUUGAUGUUCCUCCAAUGUGUUGGAGUAAAUGAUGAAAUCAUCAAAGUAAUGUGCCACACAGUCAAGUCCGUGUCUCUGUAGGACCUGACUUAUGGCUCGUUCGUAGACCUGAGGGCUGGUUUUUAAUCCGAAAGGUAAUCGAGUGGGUUGGUAUAACCCUUCGAGGGUGGCAAAUGCUAACAGUGGUCGAGAAUCGGGGUGUAUUGGGACUUGCCAAUACGCAGAGGAUAUGUUGGCCGUGGAGAAAUAUUUGGCCUGUGCGAGGCGGUCGAGAAUAUCCUCGAUUCUCGGGAGGGGAUGGACAUCAGAGCUGAUAAGCUCGUUCACCUUUCUAUAAUCGAUACAAAACCGUUUGGUCUUGUCGCGCUUAGUGACGAGGGUGACAGGGCUCGAGAAAGGAGAAAAAGAUUGCUCUAUAAUGCCAUUCUCUAGCAUUUGUUGGACUUGAUUACGGAUUUCUUGUUGGUCACAUAUAGGAACACGAUAUGGCCGUAUGGUAAUUAUUUUAUCGGAAUUCGUGGGUAUUUUUACGGGUGGAAUCCUUAAGCAUGGUACGUUGAAUUUGUUCUGUGUGAAGAUGUGAGUGUAUCUUUGUAGAAGUGUUGUGAACUGGGGUGCAUAGAGAGGGUUGUGUGUCGUGUUGUAGCAUGUAUGUGGUAAAGGAUUUUGUUGGGUCUUAGUGUGAGUGUCGAGUUCGUUGUGUGGGUUGGUCAUGUGAUAGUUGUGUGACGACGUGUGAUCAUCUAUGUGCUUGGUAUGCGAGUUGUCCCGCUCUGUGGGUACGUUUUGGGCAUGGUGUUUACAAGUUGAAGCCGUUGUGGCUUUGUUAUUUGAGGGCAUGUAAAAAAGGCAAUUGGCCUUAGUGAAAAAAUGGCAUGUAAAUAAGGGUUUUUUUUUUCAAUGAAUGCACGCAGUGAUUGUCAUAGGCGGAAGGUUAGGAUGCAGGGUAAAUUCUUUGUGACAUCGCCUGACACUGCCAGUACGUGCAUACAUUCGGUACAUGGUUAAAAUGGUAGGAUGGGGUAGACAAUGGGGCGCCCAGCUGGAAUAUAGUGCAUUUAUUAAAGUCUAUUGCUAAUCUGAAUUUGUGGAGGCUAUUAAUGCUAAGAAUUCCAAAUGGUAACGGUGCAUUCACUACAUGGAAAUUCUCUCUUCGGGUUAUUUGUCCUAUUGUCAGCGGAAUAGACAGUUUACCCAUGGUUUUUGCAAAACCGUUUAGGGUUUGGAGAUCCAGUGAAUGUCCCUUAAGGGUUAAAUUAGGCAGGUGGGUUUUUAACAUAUGGUAGAGAUUAUAGGGCACUAUAUUCAGGCUGGCGCCUGUAUCAAUGAAAAAGGGGCAUGGUAUAUUAGGGGCUAGGAAAAGUUUGACAGUCAGUUGGGUUAGGGAUCCUACCUCAGUCUCGAAAAGUCUGCUCGGCUGGGGUGUCUCUGGCUUGACUUGGUUGCUGGGGACUCGGGACUGGUUGUUCUGGGACUGUUUGCACUGUCCGAACGCCUUGGUAUCUGUUUGGUGGGACUUAUUGCACUGUCCGUUCUUUUUCGUGGGUCGCCGGGACUGGUCGAUGCCGGCAUUCGCUGUGCCAGUGUCUCUCGCCGCAGAACUUACAGUUGGACGGUGGAAGAGGUGCGUGCCAUGCACCUGGGCGUCGGGGUGGGUUGUGGUACGGACCUGACAUUGUGGGCGGUUGGUCCUCUCGAGGUCGCGUUGUCGGUACACUGGGCCCGUGGAUUCGCAGUACCAGUCGGAACCACUCUCCUAGGUUCUCGGGAGGCACUACGCGGACUAGGCGUUGGUCGGAGAAUGGCAACCCUUCUGUCAACGUCUCGAGGAUCACCUCCUGCGGUAGUCCUAGUUGUAGUCCCAUGGCGGUUUUCUCCCGGUAGUAGGUCUCUAGGUUGGCUUGCCCAGUAAGCUUCAUGGCGAAAUAUUUCGCAAAGGACGCUUCGCUUGACUCAGGAUAGAGAUCUAGGAGGAUUUGUCUCACCUGGAAAUAGCUCCGGUCGGCCAGCCGAAGUUUCCUGAAGAGCUCCAGGGGUUGUCGCGCCAGGUAGUUUGGUAGACGGAGUAAUUUUUCUUGUUCUCCCAUGGAGGCGUCUUCCAUUUGUCGGUCGAACGCUUGGAAAAACUGGAUCGCGCUGUAUGUUCCAUCGAAAGGCGAGAUUGUCGGUCCUGUAGGAUCGCAUGACCUACCCUGAGCUAGUGCGGCCGCGAACUGUUGGAUGACGUCCACUAGGGGGCUUGUUUCCUGUUCGUUCCCCUCCCUUACUUCCUGCCUUUCUCCCGUUGGUUCGUUCUCCCUCGAUUGGCUGCCGUUUUCUCCCCUUUCUUUCGUUAGGUUGUCCGUCUUUACGCCUAUUGAAUCCUGGCCAAUCUCCAUAAUAUCCUGUCGACUUAACCCUUCUGUCACAAUAUCGUUGCGGAAUUUCUUGUUGUUGGAUGAGAAUGGUGAAGAUUGUUGGAAGCGCAGUCGUUUGAGUAGAAAGUUGAGCAUACAGUGGGGAAUAACCAGGACACGUGCUGGGGUUUUGAAAAUAAAAGGCAACUGGUUGGAGGAAAGAAAGGCUUGAGAGAAGGCGGAGCGGUUUUUGACUAUUGGCCUAUCGAUUCACAUGGCGGUGAUUGACUUUAAGUGCUAUCUCGGUGGGAGCGAAGUGAACUAGGUCCGAACUCGGUGGGAGCGAAACAACUGCUGACAAUCCUCGGUUCUCGAUUUAACACGAAGACCUUUCUUCUUUCCCAUUGGUCGAAAGGUGGGACGUGGCCGUUUUCUAUUGGUUGACCUUUGGGAAGGUGCUUCCUAAUUGGUCCUUGCUAAUUUCUUUGUCUUUGGACUUGUCCUGACACGACCAGGAAAUACUGUGUCGUUGAACUCAACUUUUAUUAGUUUCGCGAUAUAAAAAUUGGCUGUAAUUUUGCUAAUGAUUGUGCUGACUUCUAAGCCUCUUUUCUAGGCCUUGUUUCUCUAAGUCGUUCUAUCCUCCAGUUACCUUAUUCUUUAUUAAGUCUUUGAAACAUACAUUGCAUACAUAUUGGGUCGGGGUUGCAUACAGCUAUUUACAAAUUAUGACAUAUAUAUAUAUAUAUAUAUAUAUAUAUGUCGCAAUAUCGUUGCGGAAUUACUUGUUGUUGGAUGAGAAUGGUGUAGAUUGUUGGAAGCGCAGUCGUUUGAGUGGAAAGUGAAGCAUACAGUGGGGAAUAACCAGAACACGUGAUGGGGUUUGAAAAAUAAAAGGCAACUGGUCGGAGGAAAGAAAGGCUGAGAAGGCGGAGCGGUUUUUGAUUAUUGGCCUAUAUAUUCACAUGGCGGUGAUUGACUUAGCUGAAAAAGAUGAACAGGGGAGGUCUCUAGAGCAGGUGUUACCUCGGUGGGAGCUAGCUAACUACUAGGUGCUAUCUCGGUGGGAGCGAAGCGACAACUGACAAUUCUUGGUUCUCGAUUUAACACGAGAACCCUUCUUACUUCCCAUUGGUGGAAAGGUGUGACGUGGCGGUUCUCUAUUGGUUGACCUCUGAGGAGUUGCUUCCUAAUUGGUCUACGUUACUUCUUUUGUCUCAAGACAUGUCCCAGCUUGACCAGGAAAUAAUAGUUUGUUGAACCCAACUUUUAUUAGUUCCGCGAUAAUAAAACUGGGUAUAAUUUUGCUAAUGAUCGUGCUAACUUCUAAGCCUCUUUUCUAGGCCUUUCUUCCUCCAAUGUUACCUUGUUUUAUUGAAACAAAUCAUACAUUUUCAUACAUAUAUUGGAUUAGGUUGGCAUCUAAUUGUACAAAUUAUGACAGAUGCGCCCCUACAUGUGAAGAAUUUAUGAAGGGGUUUUAGUCUGAAUAAGUUCUGUAAAGCAAAGAAAAUAAUUUUGAGCGAAAAUUAAUUGGUUAUAGGGAGGUUAUAUACAACAUUGAUAAGGAUAUAAGAAAAAAAAAUGUAGUGUUAAUGCUAUAUAGUUGGUUGUUAGUUAAUAGAAAUCAAAAUUUUAUAAAGGUGCAUCAUAUGUUGAGUACUAUGGUACAUAGAAAAAAAAAGGAAAAAUUGCCUAAGUACAUUUUUUGCUCGAGAUUGGGAAGGAAAUCGAGGAAAUUUCAUGAGGUAAUUUUAGAAAUCAAAAAUAAAAAUAAUAUAAAAUAGUUGACUGAAAUCAAAGUGAAGGCGUGGUUGAAAAAGAAAAAUGCCUUGUUGCGUGAAAAAAAAAAAUGCUUUGUUGCAUUGGUGAAAAGGAAAAAAUGCCUAAUUACUUUUUGCUCGAGUUUGGGAAGGAAAACGAGGAAAUUUCAUGAGGUAUCAAAAAAUAAAAAUAAAAGAAAUGUUGAGCGAAAUCAAAGUUGAAUGCUUGGUUGCGUAAAAAAAAGAAAAAUGAAAAAGGUUUUUCAAAAUAAAGGAUGACUUAAUGUCUUAAGUUUAACCGAAAACCAAUGAGUUUUCGUUGAUAAAUGAAACCACGAUAAAAUAAACUAAGUGGUAACUAAAAUGGUAAUUAAUGGCUAAAAUAAGUGAUAAUAAAUUGAAUAAGUUGAUAAAUUGGUUAAAUAUUUUAAUUUUAAUUUUUAGAAAAUAGUGAAAAUGGUUAAUAUAUAAACAAAAAAUAUAUAUAUAGUGGUUUGAACCCGUUUUGUAUCUACAUGCCCUGAUCUAGAUGUCUUAAUUGAUUAAUUAUGCCCUAUAAAUUUUUUGUCUCUUCUGUAGCGACACUUAGGCGGAAACGUGAUCCUAAUCCUCAAGUGCGAAUUUAUGCUAUGUAUACAGGAGACAUGGAAAUCUAUAUAACCUUUACAUGUAUUUUUGUCUUGUGUCAUUGUUUUUUGAGAUCUCAAAAGCCGAGUGUCGUAUUUUAAUUUGUCUCGAGCCUUAAUGCGUUCUAGGGGUUUUUAUGCGAUCCCCUAGGGCACUUAAGAUGUGCUCGCCCAAUAUCCACUUUAUAUAUUGGGUAUCGGUACCUAUAUUAAUACCUUGAAUACAGGAUUCGAGGAGAAUCUCGAUCCUUCUAAAAGGUCGUUUAAUCCCUUUUGGGAGAAUACGUAAGUUCGAAAACUAACUAACAAUUAAAGCGGUAGUGUGCGUGAACUUUGUUCAUAUUUGACUUUGAGAUCUACGUGUAGGUGGAAUAUGUAACGUUUUUUUUUUUUUGGAAGUCUGUAAGAAUAAUUUGGAUUUAAUUAUAAUAGAGGCGUUAUAAUAGAGGUGUGAAUUCAUUAAGAUGUGUCGGUAACGUCUUGUGAGAUUGAAAUUGAAUUGCUUUUGUAAAAGUCGAUAUGCAGACUCGAACUGGAAUCCAAGAUUGGUGACAUGGGGGGAGAAAAUCUGUGGAUGGGGAAACGCGGUGACCUAU